rnacentral:rRNA from 1 species
GAUGAACGCUGGCGGCGUGCCUAAUACAUGCAAGUCGAGCGAACGAACGAGAAGCUUGCUUCUCUGAUGUUAGCGGCGGACGGGUGAGUAACACGUGGAUAACCUACCUAUAAGACUGGGAUAACUUCGGGAAACCGUAGCUAAUACCGGAUAAUAUUUUGAACCGCAUGGUUCAAAAGUGAAAGACGGUCUUGCUGUCACUUAUAGAUGGAUCCGCGCUGCAUUAGCUAGUUGGUAAGGUAACGGCUUACCAAGGCAACGAUGCAUGGCCGACCUGAGAGGGUGAUCGGCCACACUGGAACUGAGACACGGUCCAGACUCCUACGGGAGGCAGCAGUAGGGAAUCUUCCGCAAUGGGCGAAAGCCUGACGGAGCAACGCCGCGUGAGUGAUGAAGGUCUUCGGAUCGUAAAACUCUGUUAUUAGGGAAGAACAUAUGUGUAAGUAACUGUGCACAUCUUGACGGUACCUAAUCAGAAAGCCACGGCUAACUACGUG